AGAGUUUGAUCCUGGCUUAGGAUGAACGCUAGCUACAGGCUUAACACAUGCAAGUCGAGGGGCAGCAUGAUCAAAGCUUGCUUUGAUUGAUGGCGACCGGCGCACGGGUGAGUAACGCGUAUCCAACCUUCCCUAUAGUAGUGGAUAGCCCGGCGAAAGUCGGAUUAAUACACUAUGUUGUAUUUAGAGGACAUCUGAAGAAUACCAAAGGCUUGCCGCUAUAGGAUGGGGAUGCGUCUGAUUAGAUAGUAGGCGGGGUAACGGCCCACCUAGUCGACGAUCAGUAGGGGUUCUGAGAGGAAGGUCCCCCACAUUGGAACUGAGACACGGUCCAAACUCCUACGGGAGGCAGCAGUGAGGAAUAUUGGUCAAUGGACGGGAGUCUGAACCAGCCAAGUAGCGUGCAGGAUGACGGCCCUAUGGGUUGUAAACUGCUUUUAUACGGGGAUAAAGUGAGCCACGUGUGGCUUUUUGUAGGUACCGUAUGAAUAAGGACCGGCUAAUUCCGUGCCAGCAGCAGC
rnacentral:rRNA from 1 species